UACGUAGGGAGCAAGCGUUGACCGGAUUUAUUGGGUUUAAAGGGUGCGUAGGCGGGCUAUUAAGUGAGUGGUGAAAUCCAGCAGCUUAACUGUUGAUGUGCCAUUGAUACUGGUAGCCUUGAGUACAGAUGAGGUAGGCGGAAUUGACAGUGUAGCGGUGAAAUGCAUAGAUAUUGUCAAGAACUCCGAUAGCGAAGGCAGCUUACUGGGCUGUAACUGACGCUGAUGCACGAAAGUGUGGGGAUCAAACAGG
rnacentral:rRNA from 1 species